UGUUGCACAGUCCUGUUUUUUUUAAUUUUUGUUUUUUUUUUUAAUUUUUAUUCUCUUAACAUACAUGCAACCUAAAAAUGUUUACCUGUCAGCUUGGUUCUGGCCUUAGGUCCAGCGCGGCCCCUCCUGGCCCCGUCCUCCAUCUCCCUCAUCUUUGGACAUCCCAGCUGGGAUGUCGGGGCCCCCUAGGGAGGGAGCCCAGAUCCAGCCCAGGACCCUCUCCUGUCCCACUCACCUGUCUAACCCUUGGGACCCCAAGGACCCCAGACCCGGAGCCCCCUCUAUGGGCAGGCUCCCCUGUCAGACCCCACCUGCCUGGAGCCCUGGCUGCGUCCCCCUGACUGUUUCCCAGCUGUCACCCUCGGCUCGCACGGGGGUGAGGACUCGGGAGCCCACCUUGGCCAUGGGCAGCGCCCUCUGCGUUGCUGGGUGCAGGGGCUGGUUUCUGUCCGCUCUGUCUUCACCCCCGGGCAGCAUGUGGGCCAUGUGGUCCCUCCGGCUUCUGGGACACGCGGUCCCACGUGGCCACCGGACGCCACGUUGCGGUUUCCUUCCUGUGCCCGAGAACCUUCGGCCUCGGCCCCUUCUCCCUACUCUCCUCUCCAUGUCCGCUCUCUGCCCUCACUUUCUUUCUAGUCCAGCUGUCAACUCACCUGUCCGAGGCUGGCGAGUCCCCGCCCCCAUCCGUGUGUGUUCCGACCCUCAGAGUGGGACCUUCUUAGGAAAGGGGUCGCUGCAGGUGGAAUCAGUGAGGAUGAGGUCACACUGGAGCACAUUGUCCCCAAACCCAGUCCUGCUGGGGACCUUAGAGGAAGAGGGGGAGACGCAGACCCAGGAGAGACGAGCGUCCCCCAGGUGACAACGGAGCAGGGACUGAGGGCCUCCCCCAGUCGGGAGCGCCAGGGCCGGCCGGGGCCACUGGCGUUAGGAGGCAGGAGGGGCCUCCCCUAGAGCCUUCAGACUUCCAGCCUCCAGAACCAGGAGAGAACACAUUCCCGGUGUUGAAGCCCCCCGUCGGUGGGUGUUUGCUAUGGGAGCCCCAGGAAGAGGCCGUUUGCAACCCAGCUCCUGGUGUGGGCCUCUGAAGUGUGGUUUGUAUCGCACGUUCCCCCCGUUUCUCUCCGAGAAAAGACAAAGUUUGUAUGAGGGUCCCAGGGCCACCUUGAACUACAGAGCCCCUCCCCACCCCCCAGCAUGGUCCCCCUGGGCCUCCACCCACCCCCAGCCCCACUGGCUGCCUUGUCCUUCUUUGCAGGGGUCAUUCCUUCUGGAAAGUUCUUCCAGGCCCCACCCCCAGCCCCGACUCACAUGUCACCUCCUCACAGGGCCCCUCCCCACCAUGCAAACAUGCCACCCGCGCCCAGCACACAUUCCAGUGCUCCCUUUUCCUGCUCUCCUUUCUUUGUCCCCAGAGUCACCACCUUCGACAUGCUACACGAUUUACUUUUCGUUAGGGUUUGGUUAGGGCAGGGGACCCAGUGUCUUUGAACCCCGACGUGCUCCAGUUCCUGUAAAAGUGCCCGACGCCUGGCUGCCCUGGAGACAUAACCGUGGAACGAAAGCCAGCGUGUGGCGGCAGUGACGCCACAUGGCAGGAAUUGCGGCCUCGCAGGAUGGGGUUCCCUGCAAGGUUGCAGGUGCCAGAAAACACACCUGGAUGAUGUCAUCCCAGCCAGAGGCGGGAGCCAGGUGUGGACUCUGCUCCGUCACACCUGCUUCAUGCAGCGCCAUCACCUCGUGGCACCUUACCAAAGCCUGCGGGCAGGAGCGGGGCCUCCUCUGAGCCGUGCACUUACCUCUCUGACGGUGGGCUCAGGCCCAAGGAAGUCUGGAGGAAACCCAGGCCUUGGGCUGGGAGGUGCAGCAGCAGGCCUGGCCCCACAGGUGCCCACCGGGAAGAGCCCUGGCCUUUCAGACGUGCUCCCCUCCUGGUGCUCCUCGUGUCGAUGGUCCCAGAGGCACCUCAAGUCGGGAAAGCUGGGGCUCCCAGGCCCGUCUCUGUGCCAGCCUUCUGCUCACAUUUACUCAUCUGCUCCUUUCUACAACAUGGGAACUGCUGUUCUCAUCCCACGUGGCCGAUGGCGAAAGGCCAUGCGACUUGCCCGGGAUGUGCAGCCAUGAAGUGGCCGAGCUGGAGUGCAGUCCUGGGGCUGCUGCGUGCCAGAGCCUGCGCCUUCCCAACCCCUGGCCCAGUCUGGCAGGAAGGGCACCUGCCGUGCCGCCACAUCCUCUCACCAAUCCCCGGUCCUGGACCAGGCCGGAAAUGUCUAUUGGACAGGGCUGCCUCUGGCCACGGCCAUGUAAGCUGGACAGAGCCUCAUCCUCCCUGGGAGAGUUGCCUUUUACCCUGAAGGACCAAAUCUGAACAGGUAUUAGGGGCAUGAAAAAUUUUUGACCUGUUUUAGAAUGAAAAGACCAUCCCAGGAGAUUAACGACACCCACUUAGUCAGUCUCCUACUCUGAAUGUAAAUUUUAGGUAUGAAGUCUUAGUUUCUUGACAUUAGGGAAUAAUCCUUCUACUUUCUAACUCUGCCUGGCAGCCUCGCAGAAAUCUGGGCGCAGACUAAGUGUAUCAACCCCACAAUUUAGUCGCUUAAGAUAAUCAUUUAUCAGCUCAUGAUUCGGAGGCCCAACGAUUUAGGCAAAUGGACUCAUUGGGUCCUGAAGAAACAGAUGUUCAGCCCGAAUAUUCAGGAACAACUUGGAAAGCAAAACGGGGCUAACAAAGGAUCUGCUUCCUCUUUGCCAUCCUGAAGGCACCUGCAGAAUCGAGAAGCCGCUGCUACUUCUGCCAUCUCCAGAACCGUGCCACUAUUGCCACGAUCGGAAAAUUCAGCCUGACCAGGACGCUGCCACAGUCAGGACACAGAAGCUGCGGAGGGAAAACGGACGCCUCUGCGUGGGUGCUGGCCAAGAGGAGUGCCGAGCAGGGGUGGUGGAGCCCUGCCUCACACACACUUUCAAUCAAAUGCAAAUACAUCCACCAGAAGCACCCAAGUCACCUCCAGAACUCUCACCGCAAGAGAUCCUGGCAGAUGCAGAAUGGACAGACGCUAGAAGAAAGUGGGGUUGGAGGCUGAACCCCGGGCUCACCCUUGCUCUCUCCCUCUCUCACUGUUUCCCCAAAAUUUUAGACACUCACAAAUUCACUGUAGCCUGCAGUCCCUUUAAUGAAUCCCAAGUCAACAACUUUUAGAGACAAGAGCUCUUAUGAGUUAAAACUCAGUAUGAACUUUUUCCGAAGGGCAAAGCAGACAAUCUAGUGCAGAUAUGAUAAUUUGGUCUGAGUUUCUGACUUUAGGACGGCAUUUUCAAGUUUCUUACAGAGAGUGGCGUUGGGGUUUCGAUUUAUUUUUUAGAGGAGAGUCCGGAUACUCGUCUUCCUAUGGAGUGUCCCUGUCCUGGACCCCAGGCUGCCCUCGCAGCCCUCCUGAAGCACAGGGCUUACGACGUGACCCGAGGAGCAGAAGAGAGAACCAGGGCCCGUAUCCAAGCCAUGUGCCUGGCCUCUUGCAAAAGUGAACUCGCCAAGCUUCACAGCUGGCCGGGGACAAGGAGUGCCCUGCUGAGUUCAAACAGGUGUGGGCAUGUGCCAAGGGGGUCUCUGUUCUGGAUCAGGGCUGGGGUAGGGGCUGGGUUUGCAGAUGUAGCUCUAGAACUUUCCACCCUGUCUCUGGGCUCCUUGAAAAUACUCUUAGUCACCUUAGUAAAUCCAUCUGUCCAUUAAAUAUUAACAAAACUUAUUUUAUUCCCAGCACACUGAAGAUGAUUAACAAAUACACUUUUUUAAAAAGAUCUCUGAAUCUUUACAAAUUAUUUCUUACUUUUGGGAUGGAGACUGCCAGGAAGUGGGUUUGCCUCUCUAGCAUGACUUAUAAAGACCAACGUAGAGACUGACCAGAAAUGUUUACACCAGUGAUUCUCAACGUGUGGUCGCUGGACAAGUAGCAUCACCCGGGGACUUGUUAGAAAUGACAUUCUUGCUGAGCCAGAGAGGGGGCCCAGCCGUCUGGUUUUACAAGCUCUCCGGGUGCCUCUGAUGCAUGUUAAGUAUGAGAAUCACGGGUUUGUGCCAACCCCUCGGGCUUGCAAAGCGCUUCGCCAUUUAUGAAGUGUCUUCCUCCUGUUGUUUCAUGCUUGUUCUUGGCACAGCCCUGCUGAGAGAGAUGGAGAGGGCACUGCCACCCGUGACUGAUGAGCAGACGGAGGUCUGAGGUCACUUGUCACACAGCCCAGCCUGGGCUGCAAGGGCUGCUUUCCCCUUUACUUCAU